GAACGCUGGCGGCAGGCCUAACACAUGCAAGUCGGACGGUAGCACAGAGGAGCUUGCUCCUUGGGUGACGAGUGGCGGACGGGUGAGUAAUGUCUGGGGAUCUGCCCGAUAGAGGGGGAUAACCACUGGAAACGGCGGCUAAUACCGCAUAACGUCGCAAGACCAAAGAGGGGGACCUUCGGGCCUCUCACUAUCGGAUGAACCCAGAUGGGAUUAGCUAGUAGGCGGGGUAAUGGCCCACCUAGGCGACGAUCCCUAGCUGGUCUGAGAGGAUGACCAGCCACACUGGAACUGAGACACGGUCCAGACUCCUACGGGAGGCAGCAGUGGGGAAUAUUGCACAAUGGGCGCAAGCCUGAUGCAGCCAUGCCGCGUGUAUGAAGAAGGCCUUCGGGUUGUAAAGUACUUUCAGCGGGGAGGAAGGCGACGGGGUUAAUAACUCUGUCGAUUGACGUUACCCGCAGAAGAAGCACCGGCUAACUCCGUGCCAGCAGCCGCGGUAAUACGGAGGGUGCAAGCGUUAAUCGGAAUUACUGGCCGUAAAGCGCACGCAGGCGGUCUGUUAAGUCAGAUGUGAAAUCCCCGGGCUUAACCUGGGAGCUGCAUUUGAAACUGGCAGGCUUGAGUCUUGUAGAGGGGGGUAGAAUUCCAGGUGUAGCGGUGAAAUGCGUAGAGAUCUGGAGGAAUACCGGUGGCGAA
rnacentral:rRNA from 1 species